rnacentral:lncRNA from 1 species
CAUUAGCGAGUUCUGGGUGUCCUCCGCUGAUGGAGUCAUGUGCACUCAUCUGUCUUUUCAGGGCAGCCUGUCUCCUGGAGCUUCUCCCUGUUGCAUUGCCGAAGCCCAGCACAACUCAUGAGAUUGAGAUGAGUAUCUUCUCUCCCACCAUAUUGUCCAGUGUAUCCUGCUCCCAGCUUACAUACUGUCAGGCUGCCGUAACAGAAUACUACAGGUUGGGUGGCUAAAACAACAAUUGUUUACAAUUCUGGAGGCUGGAAGUCCAAGAUCCAGGUGCUAGCCUGGUCCCAUUCUUGGUGAAGCCUCUCUUCCUGGCUUACCUAUGGCCUCUUUCUUCUUAUGUCCUCACAUGGUGGCCAGUGGGGAGAUGGGCUGAGGGAUACAGAAAUCUUCUUAAAGGGCACCAACCCUAUCAUGGAUGCCCCACACCCAUGACCUCAUGAAAACCGAAUCGCCUCCCAAAGACCACACCUUCAAAUAAUAUCACCUUGGGGAUGAGGGCUUCAACAUAAGAACAUUUUUAGGCAGGGCAGGGGCACAAACAUUUAACCCAUAGCAUGUACUAGGAUUGUCUACUCAAUCUGCCUCACACCCCAGACCAUUUUUAGGGUUUCUGCUCAUAGCAAUAUUGUGCAUGUCCAGCUUCUCCUUUACUCUUCCUUUCCCUUGGGCAGAAUUCCACACGAUACCAUCAAAGUUUCUGUUUUAAAUAGAUGUUUAAUUUUAAGUUAUUAUCCUCCACUAACACAUCUCAAAAACUUCCUCUUUUCAGUCUACCCAUGUAUUUCAUUUCCCAGUGGCAUUUCACUUUUUCUACUUGGCAAGCAGUGGUUUGUGCAUUAUUCAUAGAGAGGAACUUGUUCAACAAGAAAAACAUCAGUACUGUCUAUACCCCUACAUCAAAGUCUCUGAUGUGUCUUAACAUUGGGAUUCAUUUUCCUGACUCAAUAAUCCCACUUCAAAGAAUUUGUCUUAAAUAAUCAGUGAUGCAACCAAAGAUAUAUACAGCUACUCAACAUGGAUUAUUUAAACCUAUUAAAAUUUAUCAACAUAUUGUGCUCAAAGGUAAUGUUUAGAAUCCUUCCACUUAAUGUAGUCCUUGCAUGGAUAACAGUGAAAUCUAUGGGACAAUAGCAAAAUUUCCUGGAAUACAGAAAAAAGCACAAAUACAGAAUGUAAAAUUAAAAAUGAUUAAAGAGUAGAAAUACUAAUUAUAGAUGUUUAAAAACAGUAAUUUUGGCAGGGCACGGUGGCUCUCACCUGUAAUCCCAGUACUUUGGGGGGUAGAGGUGGGCGGAUCAGAAGGUCAAGAGAACGAGACCAUCCUGGCCAACAUGGUGAAACCCCAUCUCUACUAAAAAUACAAAAUGACUGGGCAUGGUGCCACAUGCCUGUAGUCCCAGCUACUUGGGAGGCUGAGGCAGGAGAAUCGCUAGAACCCGGAAGGCGGAGUUUGCAGUGAGCCGAGAUCGCCCCACUGCAUUCCAGCCUGAGACUCCUUCUAAAAAAAUAAAUAAAUACUAUAUUUGCAGUGAUGAUACUUUUUGGUUUUUGGAAAAAUUAUAUUGAAUUAUUUCUUGGUGAUGUGUUCAAAUUACUCGGGCCAGCAGGUUUUAAUCUUAGAAAGGGAGAAGAUAUAUUUAAAAACAACUAACCAUGUUUUCCUGAAAAUGUGUGAAUGUUAAAAAUCACUUAACUAGAAAAUCUAUUCUGUUUUAAAGACAAUGUGAUACUGAAUAUGACUGGAUUGGGCAGCUCUAAAUCUAUGUCUGUAAUUAUGCUGACCCAAAGACAAACAUAAUAUAUAUGUUAGAAACAUAUCUUUUAAGAUCUGACAUUAAGUGAGGAAAACAAGUGUGCAUAGUAUAAUAAUGUUUACUAAACAGACAAUAAAUGUGUGUGAACAUAUAUAAGUAUAUAAACAAAUGCCUAUUUAUAUAAAUAUGGAUAUGUGCUUAUGAAAGAAGUAAUGGAAAAAUCUAUUGUCAGUGUUUAGAUUUGGAAAGAGGUCUUAGGUAUGAGGUAGAUUAAAUAAUUUCCCUUGCAAUUUUGCAUUUUUCUGUAUUGUUUGCAUUUUCUAACUUUAUUUCUUUUACUUUAAAUGUGUGUACUGUAUCAUUGAGGGCUACUUAGAAGAGAUAUUAAGAACUAUAUUUCUUUUAGUGUCUGUGUGUGUGCACACUCACAUGUGUGUCACGUGUGUGCGAGAGUAUCAAAAAAGGCCUACUGAAUAAUAUGACGAAAUUAUGUUCCCUUGUGAUAAACUGGAAGCUGACUUGAUUUUAGUGAUUUUUGUGAUUAGAGCUUAAUGUCACUAUAUUAAGAAUGAAUUAUAGAAGGGUAGUUGUUUGCCACUACAGUGGCGUGUAUUAGCUGAUUUUUAUUUGACAGCCAGAGUUAGGAGAUACAUAAUAGGUGUCUUGACCUUAACAUGAGAGAAUAAUUUAAUACCAUAGUGUAGUGAGAAUAUGGGUUUUAGAUUUGAUUCCUCUUUGUGGCUCUAUUUCUUCACCUGUAAUAUGAGGUAAUAUCUAUGAUUGUUUUGAGCUCAUGUAUAUAAAAAUUUUAGAAAUUACAAGUAAGCCACUAAUUCCCUUUUAAUGAUCUUUAUUAAAGGUGAAGAAAUUCAACAGAUAUGAAGCUCAUGCCACAGUGCACGGAUCCAUGCACACUUGUCCCCUCUGCAGACCCAGCAGAAAAGAAAAUCAUGAAGGAAAGACUCAUUAGUCAAUGGAUGCCAGAGAUGAUGAAAUUAAUAAAACUCAUAAGGAGGCAUCCACAUGAUAAAGACGGGAUGGAGCAUUCUUGAAAAUCAACCAUUGGACAGAAAAAAAAGCAUUCAGAAAAAUGCUUGGAGGUUUGGUUUACUGUGGAGAGGCUGUGGAUGAGGAAUAUCCCUAAGUAAACCUGAUUAGCAAGUUCCUGCUCUUUGGAUAGUGCUCUUUUAUGAGAUUCAUGACUUUAGCCCAUGGCAUUAAUACUGAGAACAUUUGAAUAUGUAAUUUCCACAACAACAGGGUUCAUGUCAUUGAUAGAUGCUUUGGUGCUCUAUGCUUCACCAUCGGGGAUACCCAUUCUCCGCUGCUUUAACAUCUGAGUGCUAACAGUAGUCCUAGCUACUGGUCCCUCUCUGGAGAAUUGACCAGGGGUUAGCUGGGAGGAGAGGCUAUAAUCCUCAGCAGCAACCCACUGAAGAGGAUGUGUGCUCAGCUACUAACUGAUAUACAUUGGCUAAAAGUGUCUGCCCCUUUUCUGAAGGCAGGUGGGGAUGUGAGUUAUGGUCCAGAGCCUUACCUUGGAUGAGUUAAGUCAACUCCUAUUUAAGUCUCACCUUUGACUAACACUGCAUCCUUCUUAGUGUCCUCUCUUUCCCUCUCCUCCUUCACUGCUUUCCUUGAAGAGCUCUGUCUCAAUGAAUCACACACAACCAGGCUCUGCUUCCAGGGAACACACCCCAAAUAGGUCUAUUUAUACAUGUAGCUUCACAAAGAUGACCACAAGUCAAAAAUAAUGAAGACUGUCCACAAUCCAGAAACUCCAUUCAUGCCUCUUCCUUGGCUCCAUCACCAGUUGCCUUCCCAAAGAUACCCUCUAUCUUGAUUCCCUACCUAUUCUGACCUGUAUAUAAAUGGAAUUAAAUACAUGCAAUUAUUUGUGUACAGCUACUUCCACCCAACCUUACGUUUGUGAUACAUAUCUUUAUUGUUGCAUAGAGUUACAAUUUAUUUCAUUGCAUAUAUUAUACUCGAUUUUGUGAAUGCUUAUAUACAUUCUACAGUUGAUGGAUGUUAGAAUUUUUCUAGAUUUGGGCUAAUAUAAUUUGUGCCAUUAACAACAUUCUUAUCCAUCAGGGCGUAUGCAUGCAUACAUUCAUGUCAAAUGCACAUUUUUAAUUGCAUUGUUGUGUUAGUAAGAUUUAUUUAUAUAUUUUUAAAUACAAAUUAUUUGACUGUUGUAUAUGUUGCAGGUAUUUACUCCCACUCUCUUGGUCACAUUUUCACUAUCCCAGUCGUGUCUUUUAAUGUAAAGAAAUUUCAAAUGUUGGUGUAGACCAAUCAUUAUUCCCUUUAUAAUUAAUAGGGCCUUUCGUGUGUAUUGUUUAACAAAUAUUCCCCUUUCUCAACGUCACAAAGAUAUUCUCCUAUAAUAUCUAUGCCUUAUUGGUUUGCUUUUUACUUUUAUAUCUAGAAUUUACUGGGAUUUAAUAUUUGUAUUUGGUAUGAGGUAGGGGUUUUCUUUUUUUCUCUUUUUUUGUUCGAUUUUGA